rnacentral:rRNA from 1 species
UACGUAGGCAGCAAGCGUUGUUCGGAAUUACUGGGCGUAAAGAGUGUGUAGGCGGUGUUCCAAGUCUGGUGUGAAAUCUCCCGGCUUAACUGGGAGGGUGCAUUAGAAACUGGAAUGCUAGAGGAUGGGAGAGGUAAGCGGAAUUCCUGGUGUAGCGGUGAAAUGCGUAGAUAUCAGGAGGAACACCUGUGGUGUAGACAGCUUACUGGACCAUUUCUGACGCUGAGACACGAAAGCGUGGGUAGUAAACAGG